UACGGAGGGUGCAAGCGUUGUCCGGAUUUAUUGGGUUUAAAGGGUGCGUAGGCGGCCCGUUAAGUCAGUGGUGAAAGCCUCCAGCUCAACUGGAGAACUGCCAUUGAUACUGACGGGCUUGAGUACAGACGAGGUUGGCGGAAUUGAUUGUGUAGCGGUGAAAUGCAUAGAUACAAUCAAGAACACCGAUUGCGUAGGCAGCUAACUAGGCUGUAACUGACGCGGAGGCACGAAAGCGUGGGGAGCGAACAGG
rnacentral:rRNA from 1 species